rnacentral:rRNA from 1 species
GACAGAGGGGGCAAGCGUUGCUCGGAAUUACUGGGCGUAAAGGGCACGUAGGCGGCAUUGCAAGUCCCAUGUGAAAUCCCACGGCUUAACCGUGGAAGUGCAUGGGAAACUGCAGUGCUUGAGUACUUAAGAGGAUCGCGGAAUUCCCGGUGUAGAGGUGAAAUUCGUAGAUAUCGGGAGGAACACCAGUGGCGAAGGCGGCGAUCUGGGAAGAUACUGACGCUGAGGUGCGAAAGCGUGGGGAGCAAACAGG